GUAUAACUUAGUGGCAGACGGGUGAGUAAUGUAUAGGAAUCUACCUAGUAGUACGGAAUAAUUGUUGGAAACGGCAACUAAUACCGUAUACGCCCUACGGGGGAAAAAUUUAUUGCUAUUAGAUGAGCCUAUAUUAGAUUAGCUAGUUGGUGGAGUAAUAGCCUACCAAGGCAAUGAUCUAUAGCUGAUCUGAGAGGAUGAUCAGCCACACUGGAACUGAGAUACGGUCCAGACUCCUACGGGAGGCAGCAGUGGGGAAUAUUGGACAAUGGGCGAAAGCCUGAUCCAGCCAUGCCGCAUGAGUGAAGAAGGCCUUUGGGUUGUAAAGCUCUUUUAGUGAGGAAGAUAAUGACGGUACUCACAGAAGAAGUCCUGGCUAACUCCGUGCCAGCAGCCGCGGUAAUACGGAGAGGGCUAGCGUUAUUCGGAAUUAUUGGGCGUAAAGGGCGCGUAGGCGGAUUAGUAAGUUAAAAGUGAAAUCCCAAGGCUCAACCUUGGAAUUGCUUUUAAAACUGCUAAUCUAGAGAUUGAAAGAGGAUAGAGGAAUUCCUAGUGUAGAGGUGAAAUUCGUAAAUAUUAGGAGGAACACCAGUGGCGAAGGCGUCUAUCUGGUUCAAAUCUGACGCUGAGGCGCGAAGGCGUGGGGAGCAAACAGGAUUAGAUACCCUGGUAGUCCACGCUGUAAACGAUGAAUGUUAAAUAUGGGAAGUUUACUUUCUGUAUUACAGCUAACGCGUUAAACAUUCCGCCUGGGGACUACGGUCGCAAGAUUAAAACUCAAAGGAAUUGACGGGGACCCGCACAAGCGGUGGAGCAUGUGGUUUAAUUCGAUGCAACGCGAAAA
rnacentral:rRNA from 4 species